GACUUCAAAGGGAAUGUGAUAAGCAAAUGUAGUCGAGCUUUCAGUCUGAACCAGGCACUUUAAUCAAAUUGUUUCAGAGGAAUCAAACUACAAACACGGACACACAGACGAGUGGGAAACAUUGAUUUUUCAGCCCGUGAACUUCCUCUUACACACAGCUCAUGCAACACACCGACAGCGCCUUCCCCCUUUAAUGGCGUAUUUUUAAAAAACAUUUGUUUCCAGUCUAUGUUGACCUCGGGGCAGGAAAAAGUCCAGACGUCCCGGUCUUUUAUGCCAGUCUCCUCUGUCUUUGCUUGUUCAUAUGAUGUAACAGGGUGUGAUGUUGACUAAAUGUUUAUUCUCUAUACAAACGUGAGUCUAUCUACUGGUGAAUUGCAAAAAUGCCAUUUGACAGAUGAUAUGACCAAAAAAUGCAAGUACAGUAUGUUAUGUUAAAGCAGUGAAUUUUGCUUUCAUGAGUAAGAAUAAUCCUUUUAAGAAUCAAGUGAAUUUUCUGUGAAUUCCAGCCUGAAGCUCAGAUUCCUUCCUUCAACACAAGAGUGAGGACUAGAGACUCUAUGAUGAUAAAUGCUGCUGCUGGCCAUUUAUGAUCCCUGCUAUUAAUUGAGGAUCUAAUCAAGUUAUACUUUGCAGAAAUGGAUUGAAUAACUUGAGAUUUUAACCCACAGGUGCAACUAAGAACCUUUUCUCAUAUACAUGAAGUGAAGGACAAUUUUGAGAAAUUUGAAAGAAAAUUUGUCUAAAUUGUAAUUCUUUGUUAAAAAAAUGACAAAAAGUGUAGUUAUCAAAAUAAACCAUAUUUCUAGUGUGAUCUAAACAAGGAAUGCAGGACCGCGUUCAGCCUUCACCAAGUUUAAAGUUGUGCAAAGGUUUUUCUUAGAAGUACAUCUGAGCCUCUCUGUGGCAGGAGCAGCGAGGAGCACGGAGAUCAGCGUUGUUUUCAAAGAGACCAAGUCCCAGAGGCGAGCUGGCAGACGGCUGGCUGGCACACGAUGGAGAUCAGAAGGAGAAUCACAGGUGAAAGAGCUGGUCCUUAAAUACUGAAGGCGAGAGGUUCAGGUGAUGAAGGUGUGACAGCCAAAGAUCCAGCUGGAGCCUUGGCCUCUGCCAUGCCUCUGGCAGGACAGAGAAACCUGCUCACAGACUCGUCCAUGGAGCAAAGGCAGAGGGAACAACUUCAUGAUUGUGGCCUUUAAACUUUGCAGUGGUUCUUCCCCGUCCUUUUCAAAUAUCAUUAAAUAACUUGAGAAC